UACGGGGGGGGCAAGCGUUGUUCGGAAUUACUGGGCGUAAAGGGCUCGUAGGCGGCCAACUAAGUCAGACGUGAAAUCCCUCGGCUUAACCGGGGAACUGCGUCUGAUACUGGAUGGCUAGAGGUUGGGAGAGGGAUGCGGAAUUCCAGGUGUAGCGGUGAAAUGCGUAGAUAUCUGGAGGAACACCGGUGGCGAAGGCGGCAUCCUGGACCAAUUCUGACGCUGAGGAGCGAAAGCCAGGGGGAGCAAACGGG
rnacentral:rRNA from 1 species